AUCAUAUUCUUCAGUGAAAGUUAGAUCUUGGUCUUCCUUUCGGCGCUGUUACAAUUCCUCUCCUACCUUGCUUGAAAGGAUCUGUUUCUUGCGGAGGUAAGGCUCUUUCUACGCUAAACAUCCUUCGGCGUCUCAAACGGGCCUGAAGCCUAGAGGCGCAAGGCGCAACGAUUCGCGCCACCAUCCGCAGCCAAGCCAAACCAGAAUCGCCAAGUUGACCCUUUCGAUCAUGUUGGAUCAUGUUUGCUGUACUACCUGAAGGCACAGUUUGGUUACAGCAAAGAUGAGUUUGCUAAUCUACAUCUAAUUGCCGGUGCUGCCGGAAUGCUAUCACAGGUGAAGAGAUACUACUUACUGUGGGGCAGCUAGGAGGAUUUACCCAUGUUUUCUUGCAUGGUCAUACUAGGUACUUUCUUUGCCCUUGGCAAUUACUUUAUCUGAUGACAUUUUAGUUGAUGUUCCUAUCCCAACGGCAAUAUAUAAGCAUGUGAUGGCUUAGUAGUUCGGCACCAAUGCCAAUCAUGUGUUGAGCAUCUGAACUCACCUCUUCCUUAACUAUUUCUGAAUCAUCUUGCAGGUGCCCUAUUUUGCCGCAGCAUUUGUAAUUUUGAGUGCUUUUGUUCACCCUUCUGUAAACCACUGUUAGCUCAACAUUUUUUUUAAUUCAUUUGCCUUAUGUGAUAUUGAAAACAUUCUUGAUGAAAAAAUUGUAGCUUGAAACAAACUUAAGGUAUCUCUAGUACUUAAAAAAUACACAGUAUCUCUUCACCCGGAAUCUUACCAACAACGAGGUUGGGGCUUUCCCCAGCACGAGGGGGAGGCCAGCUCCACUUGCAAGCUUGGGUGGCCUCGUCCAUUAACGCAGAUCAUCAAGAUCCGGCAUGGAGGAGUGGUCGGUGGCAGGGUCACGAAGGAGUCGCCCGAGGUGUGCAGCAGCUUCAACAGUGUCCGUGGCCGCGGCGACGUAGUGGACUAGGCAGAAGCUGAGGGUG